rnacentral:rRNA from 1 species
GAUGACAGCUAAAUGUUCAAAAGCAGGAGCCAAGCCUGGUUAGUGCUUAGAUGGGACACAGCCUGGGAAUACCAGGUACUGUGGGCU